GGAAAUAUAUAAGUGUGCACCAACAAAAGCGGCUCAGGAUUUCUUGAAAGGCUUCUUCAGUCUUGCCCCUGCAGAAACACUGGAUGGGACUGAGCACGAUCCCACUGUGAGAUCUGAAGGUGGAUGCUGUUUCUGGGGGAGAAAGCCUGUUGACUUCAGCGGCAGCAGACGUCCCAUGAGUAAAGAGCAAGCCCAGUCUGGAAUUUGCAAAAGGAUUCACCCAGCUAAAUUUUAGGAGUGCCAGUGGGACCCAAGGAAACUU